AAACAUAGUGUAGACAAGACCAAACAAAACUUGGCACCAGGUUAAUUAAGGAGAGGGUAUAGUAUGGCCCAGUCUAGUGGCAAAACUUUGGUGCAGUGGUUGGUAGCAGCAUUGCUCAUUGCCUUGUUGGGUGGUGCACAAGCUGUUGCAAUAUGUAACAUAGACUCAAGUCAAUUAAACUUGUGUCGUGCUGCAGUUACUGGUCAAAACCCUCCACCACCGGAUGAGAAAUGUUGUGCAGUUAUUCGCCAAGCCAAUUUGCGUUGCCUCUGCAGUUACAAGUCUAUCCUACCUUCAUUCGGAAUAAACCCCAAAAAUGCUUUGGCCUUGCCUGGUAAAUGUGGUCUGCAAUCACCUCCUAAUUGUUGAGUGUAGUGAGGCAAUCAAUGAUGGUCACGGACUCAUGGUCAUUACAAGCACCUUAGUGUUCAAUAUUGCUUUCGGGUGUUUCAUUAACACUGAAGAUAAAUUUUAAGACAACAUUUGAUACCCCUCGAACAACGGUGCAGUUUAUUUUAAUCAGUGUGUCAUGUCCAAAAGUUUGCUAGCAGAUGUGUAUUAGUGUUUGAUGUGUACAAGAAUACAAGAUAUCAUUACUCUUUUCCCUCCAUGCCCACACUUUUAAUUUGCUUAAUAAAAUGUCUGGUUUAUGGACUCUGAA